rnacentral:lncRNA from 13 species
CCUUUUUAGGAAAUCAUACCAGAAUAAUCUCUCCAAAGGAAGAUGAAAGAAAGAAGGCAAGAGGCUAUACAAAGUUCAUCAGAGAAGUACAUGUGAUGGGUUUUAUGAAAAGAGAAUUGAUUACCAUCAGAGGACUAUUGCCUGUCCAUUACCAAUGCUGGGCACUUAAAAAAUGAGGCACAGUCUGGAAAGGAGACACUGUGGGGAGUUAGUCUGCUCUCUUCAAGGAUUGUCUGUCUUGCAUUCCUCAAGACAGCUAAUCCUAUGUGCCUGGAGACAAAAAGAAAGUGGAGCAUUGGCAUAUGAAUGGUCCCCACAUCUCACAUCAGUUAAUAGUUCCUACCAAAGCCUUUAACAGAAGAAAAUCAAAGUUAAUGAUGGAAUGUAAUCUCCUCUUCCAUCCCACCAUGUGGUGGUAGAUCUUGAGAGAGUGGAACUUACCAGAGGUGGACAGGCCCAAGAACAAGAAAUCAGAAUGCACAGAGAAAAAAAAAUAGCUGUCAUGCUAUCAAGAACAGACCCUACUUUGUGUGCAGUGAAGUCUGAGUCCUGGCAUGGUUCAGUCUACAAGAGAACCCACUCAGCAGACAGCGCCAUAAAAACAAACCCAGUAGACUGUGUGCUCCAGAGGGCAG